AUUUCAGAUUAAGAGGAUUUGGUUCUCGAGCCUAUCUCGCAGGAAGACGGCGAAUAGACGCCUAAGGAUUUCAUAGUUUUAUUUAUAGCAUUCAUUACUAGUAUUACCUUAGUUAGUUUAUUCUUUCACACGUUGAAUACGUUUUUGGUUAUUGUGUAAGGGAUGUUAACCAGAAUUUUUAUUUUGCUUCCGUACUUAGAACUUUUUAAUACAUACAUUUCAUUUUUAUUUCCGGGG
rnacentral:lncRNA from 1 species